AAGUCGUAACAAGGUUUCCGUAGGUGAACCUGCGGAAGGAUCAUUAACACGUAUCCAACGUAUCAACCCUUCGUGCUCUUUGUCUAAGGACUUUGGACUUUUUCUUCGGUCACACUUUCGAUUGAUUUCAUUUCAUGAAUAGGUUAAAGACGCUGGUACUACCUCGGUAGUAGCUAGGGUGCUGCUCAUGAGAAGAGUCAAUCAAGUGGGCGACUGUUUUAUAAAGUCUGGGUUCUUAAUUGAAAACUUUAUUAUCACAUUUAAACCCCUUGUACUUAUUUUCUACUGAAUUAAAUAGUUAACCUUUGCUAGGCUAGAACUUAACAAUUACGUGGUUCGACCCUUGGCUUAGGACUUGACUUAUUUAUCUUAAACCAUUGACAACUCUUAACAACGGAUAUCUUGGUUCUC
rnacentral:misc_RNA from 1 species